AACGCGAAGAACCUUACCAGGAUUCGACAUGCCCUCUAUGGAUUCCCGAAAAGGAAUCCUUCACUUCGGGUGGGAGGAGCACAGGUGCUGCAUGGCUGUCGUCAGCUCGUGUCGUGAGAUGUUGGGUUAAGUCCCGCAACGAGCGCAACCCUCGUCCUCUGUUGCUAACAGGUUAGGCUGAGCACUCUGAGGAAACUGCCGGUGAUAAGCCGGAGGAAGGUGGGGAUGACGUCAAGUCCUCAUGGCCCUUACAUCCUGGGCUACACACGUGUUACAAUGGCGGUGACAAUGGGCAGCGAUCUCGCAAGAGCUAGCAAAUCCCAAAAAGCCGCCUCAGUUCGGAUUGCACUCUGCAACUCGAGUGCAUGAAGCUGGAAUCGCUAGUAAUCGUGGAUCAGCACGCCACGGUGAAUACGUUCCCGGGCCUUGUACACACCGCUAGUC
rnacentral:rRNA from 1 species